UGAAAAUAAGAGCUUUUUGCAUAAGCUAAUUUAGAAACAUGUGAAUGAGUAAGUAAAAAGCAGCAUUAGUGUAGUGUGAGUGAGUCAGUGCUUAUUACUAAGUUAUUACUCUCUCUCUCAUACACACUCACAUUAAAUGUGCCUCUCUCUCACCUUGCUAUAUAUAAGAAGGUAUGUGAGGGUUAGGGUUUUCAUCAUCACCAUCAAAGAGUGAAAGAGUUGAAGAUGUUUCAUUUGAGGGGAAUGUUGGCUGGCUCGAGGCUUUUCAGUUUCACAAAAGAAGUUCAAUCUUAAUUGUAUGAACUAUAAGGCUUCGGACCAGGCUUCAUUCCCCUCAAAAUCUUUAUCAUUUCAUCUUCUUCAUCUUCAUCUCCAUCUUGUGAGACGCAAGAGUUAGGUUGAGAGGAACGUUGUCUGGCUCGAGGUCACCGAGAUCGAUGAGUAAUACUUCUAACUCUCUACUCAAUCUCGGACCAGGCUUCAUUCCCCCUAACCAACUCUUGCAACCUUCAACUUCAACUUCUCCAUAAGUAAGGUUUUGGCCCCUACUCUCUCCCUCAAAUGCUGCAGGAAUGUUUGUUUCACGUGGGGAAGGCAAGAAAGCAUCAACAGUGUCAAAACCUAUCACUAGUGAAAAUUCUUUCUUAUCAUCUGCAAACCAUAACCCUAGCUAGGUCUUUCAAUAACACUAUUAUUAUGUGACCAUUAAUAAUGGUUUUAUAUUUGUUGUGCAGUGAAGUGCAAGGUUUCCCAUUGCGGUUACAUAAAAAGCUUUUGCAAUUUUUGCGAUACUAAUUGUGAUGGUAUUGGUAUCUGUCGCACUCGUUUUUGUGAUAACGGGACAGUUUUUUAAAACUUUGGUGAAGUGGUUAUGGCAGUGAGAUUGAAGUUAGUAGGUGAGAUGAGAUGUGCUGGAACAGUUAACGAGAAGAAGUGAGAAUCAGGAGAAGCUAAGGUAGCUAGCUAGGUAUCUGUGUAUUGUGAUCACCAUUCACCAUUAUAAAUCUUGCUAAUUUCCAAGACAGCAGAAGAAAAAGCUGAUAGAUAGAUUAUAGAUAAUAUGUAUGAGCAAAAGUUCCAUGGUGAUGCAAUGAAGAGUACUUCAGAUAGAUAGAUAUAAUAUAGCCAUGGAUGUAUCUGAGGUGAUGCAAAACUAAACCUCAAAAUAGAGAGUACUGUCAUGUUUCUGGAUUUUUUCUGUUUCUAUGUAUUUGUGAGUGUUUUAGUGUUAAUGUAUUUAUGAAGCUUUUAAAGUUGUUGAAAA